GCGUCUUGCCCACCAGGCGCAGGAAGUGGAGCUGCGCAAUGAGGGGCGCCUGGAGCGCGCGCAGGGCCGGGCGCACUGGGGCUGGGACGGGUACUGGGCGCGCAAUACUCCAUGAGAGCCACCUGCGCCUGCUCCUGCAGCCUCUCCCUGCGCGCAGAGGCCGAGAGCGCCAUGACAUUGAGGCACCGGGCUCCACCGAGUCCCCCUGCAGGCGGCCCAGCUCCUCCACCUGCUCCUGGUCCAGGAAGGCCGCGCGCGCUUGGCCGGCAGUGGCGCCCUGUGCAGGCAGGGGCAGCGCUAAGAGCAGCCGCGCCGCCAGCGUUCUCACCUGGUCCAUGCCCAGCGCCGCGCCGCCGCCACCUGCACCUGCCGCGCCCACAGCUGCACCGCGAACAAGCCAGGAGGGCUGCCGGAGGAGGAGGCCAGCGCUGCUGGGCAGUGAUUAUGGGAUGCGGCCGCGCUGCAGCGCUGCGGGGCGGCAGGAGGGAGAGAGAGAAGGGCAGGGAGAAGACUGCCAGAGCGAGGCUCCCUCAGAGUCCCCCCACCCCAGCUCCAGGAGAGCCCGGGUGAGGAGGGGGCCUGGGGUCUUCCCCAGGUGGGACUGGGAGCUGGGGCCUCGCCCGCAGCAAGCAGGUGAGGUGGGAGGAGGGAAACCGAGGCAGGGAGGGCUGGCUGCCAGGCAGGGCAAAUUAAGGAGCCUUAAUGAGCCCGCCCACCUGGCCUGAUCGAAUCCAUGAGCUCCAGCCCUAGGCCAGCCUCACGCAGGGCACAUUACCAGCCCUGGAGGGGACUAGGGGCUGGAGGUGGGGCUGAGUCCUGCGGGGGUGGGGGUCAGCUGUGCAGUAGGAGUGGUCAAAUGGGGCCCAAAAGUGCUGCCCUGGUUAUAAGCCCCGCCUGCACCACUCCUCCCCCCCAUCCUACCCCAGGGCCUUUGCACCUGCUCACCCCCCCUUCUUCAAACCCCCACCCUCAACUCUCCCACCUCCAGCCCAGGCUGGGGCGUGGGGUUCAAAUCCCACCCACAACUCCCUCUUUAACACCAACCCCCGAAUUAACAAAUCUGCUUUAGAGCAGUAUUGGCCAUGGAGGAAGGGCUACCCUGGUGGCAACUGAAGCCAUGGGCUAUUUACUGAGGGCCAACUGUAUGCAGGGACCCUGGGGCACAACAGUGCACAAGACAAAGAGAGUCCCUGGAGAAGUCAUUGGGUUCCAAAGCAAAGUAAGGGGUUGUGAGCUGUGAUGGUGGGAGGCCGCGCAUGGGGUGGGGGAUGCAGCACGUGGCUGUAGGCACGCCCACCUGAGGGCCGGGCCAGCGGGAUUUCAGAUCAGCCACGUGAGAAGAGGGGGCACAGGUGAACCCCCCCAAACUGAAGGGAGUGGCUUUUCCAAGGGGCUCUGAGCCGACUUUAUCAGCUUCCCUCACAGACGCAGUGAGGGGGGAGGACUUCGAAAGCGCGAGAGACUGGGGUCAGACCCUGGGAAGAACCGGCAGACAGAAAGCAGGUGUAGCAGUGUUAGGAGCCGAUUGUCUAAUGAAUAUACAGGUGUGUGUUUUUAAAGCCUGAUAAUUUUAGACAUAACUUUCUCCAGGUUUUGUAUUUCUAUAUUUUAGUUUUCAUGUAUCCAUUUGAAAGGCAGAGAGUAAUUCUACUGUGUGUGUGUGGCAGGAACCCAAUUCCUUGAGCCCUCCUGUGCUGCCUCCCAGCGUCUGCAUUAGCAGGAAGUUAGAAAUGGAAACAACACUCAGAAGCCCUCAUUCCAUUGUAGCAAGGUUGUCUCAAGGGGAUUCUUAACCACUUGGCCAAAUGCUCGCUCCUGCUUACUACUUUUUAAACACCACUCUCUUACAUUACAUAGGCCCAGGAUCACAAAAAUUACCAAUUCCAAUGUUGGCAAAGCCAAUGAAAGUGGAGCUCUUACAAAAAAAAAAAAAAAGAAAGCCUAACGAAUUAUUUAAUUAGAAGUAUUAGCUUGAAUAAAAUAAUAGUUUGAGUUUCAUGUUUCAUCAGGUUAGAUAAGUGAUGGAUUUUCAAUAUCAAUAUACACUGAACAUAAAAAAGAUGUAAAAAUAUUUUCAACCAUCAAUAUUACACAUUUGCAAAAGCAGUGGAUGCUUGAAUAGUUCUACAAAAAUGUGUUCCAAAAUCAUGUGAUUAGUGUUUAAAUAAAGGAAAUGAAUGUUUAUCUCAAUGAACCAUUUCCAAAAGGGCAGAAAUACAAAAUAAAGCCCCUAACAUGAACUGGAUAUGACAAUAAUUAUCUUUGAAAAUUCAUUUUGUUUUAAGAACUGUUUCUGAAAACUAUAUUUUUUAAAAAGUAAACAAUAUUUUAAAGGGGAAUUACUAUCCAUGAUAUAAUAAAAUAUUUUCUGGAAUUCUUGAUCACAGUUUGAAGCCAGAUUUAAUUUAAAAAGUUACUAAAGGUGGGAAAUAAGGCAUACAAGAAAAACUUUUUAAUUUUUAAAUGUAUCUAUAUCUUUAAGCAUAUCAAAUGUCAAAAUGAGAUUAUUGAGAAAACACAUGGUAAUAGAGAAUUAUUAGAUUUAUUUCAAAAAUUCUUAUUGAAUUUUUAUAGGCUCUCAAAACUUGAUGUAGCAAUCUAUUUUUUCUGGGACCACUUUUGUUCCUUUGUCCACUCCUGUUAGCAUUAUUUGGCAAAAGUUGAACAGUGAGGUACACGUGAGAGAAUUAUUACUCAAUUUUCCUGGCCAGUUUUAGGUAAGAAAUCAGGAAACAACCACAACCACCACAACAAACACCACUUUCUCAAGAGCAUUUGCAGAUCAGUUCUGCAGACUUCAAACGUUUUCAGGUUUGGAAUGUUUAGACUACCGCUCUCAUGCUAAAUUCUCUGUGGCUUUCUUUCUAUUUCUGAAUUGCUUUUUACAAACAGAAUGCAGCAUAAGGGACUGACAGCAAAAUACACUGUUCCCCAGAUGGUUCAAAUAAUAACUAUGCCAAUUGUUUGUAUUUAUAUUGCAAACAUCAUAUUUUCACCUAAGUAUCACUUACCUCAAAUGUUAACUGAAUAUUUUUAUAGAAUUGUUUUUUAAGAUUUAUUUUCUUUGAAAGUCAGAGUUAUUCUACAAAAAGAAAUAGAUAUCAAUACAAGCAUAAUUUUUAUUCCUUCAAGUGAUUGAUAGAAAAGUAUGUUUUGUACCUUCAAUUUGAGCAGGAUCUCCCCAAAAUUAAAUUAGAUAGAUUGUUUACCAGUGUGAUAAAAUGUAUCUCACAAAGAGAAAAUAUGAUACAAAAAUAUAAUUUACUUUAUUUCUUGAAUACUCAUAUAUGUCUUGCUAGACUAAGUUAGAAUAGAAUCAAUAUAUUUUUGUCAAUCUAAUCAUUCUGAAACAAAAUCGAAUAAUGAGUAAUUUGGAAAUGUUUAUGAAUUAGUUUUCUGUUUAUUUCUAUGGAGGAAGGAGGAAUGAUGGUAAUGUUUCCAAAUUCUUCUGGUUAAAUGUGGAACAGUUAAAAAAUAACAUGAUAUAGUUGUAAGUAGGUCUUAGGCAUCCAAUCCAUGUGCAACCAUGCAUGACACAAAAUGUAUUAAGUUAAUAUAAUCAUUGACUUUCUCUCUCUCUCUCUCUCUUUUUUUUUUUUUUUGACCGGCAGAGUGGACAGUGAAAGAGAGAGAGAGAGAGAAAGGUCUUCCUUUUUCCGUUGGUUCACCCCCACAAUGGCCAGGAGCCAGGUGCUUCUCCUGGUCCCUUAGGUGGGUGCAGGGCCCAAGCACUUGGGCCAUCCUCCACUGCCUUCCCGGGCCACAGCAGAGAGCUAGACACUAGGAAGAGGAGCAACCAGGACAGAACUGGUGCCCCGACUGGGACUAGAACCCAAUGUGCCGGUGCUGCAGGUGGAGGAUUAGCCUGUUGAGCCACGUCGCCAGCCUAUAAUCAUUGACUGUGAAAUAGCGGAUGGAAGACCUCUCUCUCUCUCUCUCCCUCCCUCUUUCUCUCUCUCUCCCUCUUUUUCUCUCUCUCUGCCUCUCUGUAACUCUCUGCCUUUCAAAUAAAUAAAUAAAUCUUUAAAAAUAUUUGAUGAGAACUGACAUAUUAUUACUGCUUACUACUCAUAAGGAUCACUACAUGCAUCAUGUUACAGCAUAUGUGCUACAUGUGCUUUAUUUCUAAUACACUUUCCCCUCAUCUUGUGAACAUUAUUUCUAUGUUAUAAAUGAGACAAUUGAGGUAAAGUUUGCAUGAACAUGACACAGAUGGAAACUCUAACCCCAGGAUUUAAUCUGACACCAGGAUUUAAACACCUACGUCUUUAUCUGGCUCCAGAAUUGGGGUUUGUUUUUUUUUUAUUUGAAUUCUAUCUCAAACUCCUGUUUUUAGAGCAUUCAGGAUAAGAAGGUAAAGUACAGGAUUGUGAAAUGUGUGAGCACCAUCCAUAUGGUGACUCUCAUUCAUGUAAUUCCUCCACUUGCUGUGACUGGGUUGGUAAAUGGGGUGCUAUUUUCCUGCCCUGUACUUUAGGUAAUUACACUACUCAGCCUAAUCACCGUGUGAGCUUGACAGUGCAGGUUACAUUAGAUCUGUUGCACAUGAGCUGGGUACUACUCUUGGCUUCACUUCUGAGUUUUUGUGUGAAUUUGGGAAAACUACGCUUUUCUCUGUCUCAGUAUUCAUAUUUCUGAUAUUGGAAUAAUGAGGCUUUCAAGAUUCUCCAUAGGGAUAUUUUCUCCAUUGACCAUUCCAGAUUGGGAAAAAAAAAAAAAAACACGUAA